rnacentral:rRNA from 1 species
CCCGCUGAACUUAAGCAUAUCAAUAAGCGGAGGAAAAGAAACUAACAAGGAUUCCCCUAGUAACUGCGAGUGAAGCGGGAAAAGCUCAAAUUUAAAAUCUGGCGGUUCUUGUAGCCGUCCGAGUUGUAAUUUAGAGAAGUGUUAUCCGCGCUGGACCGUGUACAAGUCUCCUGGAAUGGAGCGUCAUAGAGGGUGAGAAUCCCGUCUUUGACACGGACUGCCAGGGCAUUGUGAUGCGCUCUCAAAGAGUCGAGUUGUUUGGGAAUGCAGCUCAAAAUGGGUGGUAAAUUCCAUCUAAAGCUAAAUAUUGAGGAGAGACCGAUAGCGAACAAGUACCGUGAGGGAAAGAUGAAAAGAACUUUGGAAAGAGAGUUAAACAGUACGUGAAAUUGCUGAAAGGGAAACGCUUGAAGUCAGUCGCGUCGCUCAGGACUCAGCCUUGCUUUGCUUGGUGUACUUCCUGUUCGACGGGUCAGCAUCAAUUUUGGUCGGUGGAUAAAGGCUUAGAGAAUGUGGCAUCUUCGGGUGUGUUAUAGCUCUGGGUCGCAUACAUCGGCUGGGAUUGAGGAACUCAGCACGCCGCAAGGCCGGGGACUUGUCCCACGUACGUGCUUAGGAUGCUGGCAUAAUGGCUUUAAUCGACCCGUCUUGAAACACGG